AACGAACGCUGGCGGCAUGCCUAACACAUGCAAGUCGAACGAGACCUUCGGGUCUAGUGGCGCACGGGUGCGUAACGCGUGGGAACCUGCCCUUAGGUUCGGAAUAACUCCCCGAAAGGGGUGCUAAUACCGGAUAAUGUCUUCGGACCAAAGAUUUAUCGCCUUUGGAUGGGCCCGCGUUGGAUUAGCUAGUUGGUAGGGUAAAAGCCUAUCAAGGCGACGAUCCGUAGCUGGUCUGAGAGGAUGGUAAGCCACACUGGGUCUGAGGCACGGCCGAGAGUCUGACGGGAGGACGCAGCGGGGAAUAUUGGACAAGGGGGGAGAGGGUGAUACAGGCAUACGGCGUGGGUGAAGAAGGCGUUCGGGUUGGAAAGUGAUUUUGUUGGGAAAGAAAAGCAGCAGGUUAACACGGGGCGGUACUGACGGUACCGAGAGAAUAAGCACCGGCUAACUUCGUG
rnacentral:rRNA from 1 species